CAGCCUAUAAAGGUCACACAUCGGUGGUGACGGCGCUUGUGACUCGAGGGGCGACUGUGAACGGGAAGACCAACCUUGGGUCUACUCCGUUACACUUCGCAGCCCAAGAAGGUCACGAGGCGGCGGCCGAGGAGCUCAUCGUCAAGGGCGCCGAUGUGAACGCAAAGGACGAGAAUGG